UACGUAGGGGGCUAGCGUUGUCCGGAUUUAUUGGGCGUAAAGAGCGUGUAGGCGGCCAUGUAGGUCCGGUGUGAAGACUCGAGGCUUAACCUCGAGAUGUCAUCGGAAACCAUUUGGCUAGAGUCCGGAAGAGGAGAGUGGAAUUCCUGGUGUAGCGGUGAAAUGCGCAGAUAUCAGGAGGAACACCGAUGGCGAAGGCAGUUCUCUGGGCCGUAACUGACGCUGAGGAGCGAAAGCGUGGGGAGCGAACAGG
rnacentral:rRNA from 1 species